UGUAGCCACAUCAGUUUCUGAUUAGUCUUACAAUUUAAGUGGGGAAGUGACUUUGGAAGAGACAUGUGUGUGCUGUCAGCAGAUCGGGGAGGGGAUCGAGAGAGAUGGAGGGAGGCUGCUGUAACACCUUUUCUGGUUGGGAUUCUGAAUGAAUAUGAAAGGCAUGGCACCUCUCUGUGGAAGGCUACACCAUGACACUACAGAGUACAGACUGUGAGUUGUGUCACUGUGCUCAAAUGAAGCCACUGUCCCAUCAAAUGAGAGGACACAUAAACUUCCAGCAAGAAAAAAUAAGAUAAUCUGAUACAUUUCAGUAUCAAAAAGAUUACCAUCAGACACUCUAUAAGGUGACACAACAAUCAAACAGCACUGGAGGUCUAGAUUGAUCAUAUCUCAGGACAAUUAUAAUCUAUUCCCAAGCCCAGGCUGCAAUACAACUAAAAGGUGGACUAAGAACACACAAUAAUUCUCUGUCCCUGUGUUUGACAACACUGGAAACAGGCAUAUUUCCCUCUCUCUGAGCUUAACAACUCUAGGAUGAUGGAUUUUACCUCUUUCUUUGCUAAGCAAUGCUGACAAUAAACAAAAAUAAUUUAGCUGCUUGCUCUAGGAAAUACCUGCUUCUGGAAGAUAAGCCUGGGAACAAACUAAACAGCUUACUUAUCAUGAAUAACACUUGACUCAUCCAGAAUUACUUCAAGACCCUCUGCACUGUGACCAUCAAUCCAAAGCUAUCAUGGCAUAAUCUCUGUUCAAUCCCGAAUAGUUUCUAUCUUGUAAGACUCUCCUUAAAUCCAGUCACCCCUGACCCCCAAACCAUAUAUAUUUCUAUUUUGAGACACUACCAAGACUGUCUCCUUUACUGCAGUAAAUCUAAUAAGCUGAGCUUUUCUUGAUCAAUAGACUUUUCUGAUGAUCUUUGGCGAAUCAAUGGUUGACUCUGUAAAGUACUUUAUUACAAGACUAAUUGUAUUUAACUUUCUUAAAAACCUGUUUUUUGUCUUUUUAUUUAUUCUCCCAAGAAAUAUUUAUUGA